GAUGAACGCUGGCGGCGUGCCUAACACAUGCAAGUCGAGCGAAGCGCCUUACUUGAUUUCUUCGGGAUGAAAGUAUUGUGACUGAGCGGCGGACGGGUGAGUAACGCGUGGAUAACCUGCCUCAUACAGGGGGAUAACAGUUAGAAAUGACUGCUAAUACCGCAUAAGACCACAGCACCGCAUGGUGCAGGGGUAAAAACUCCGGUGGUAUGAGAUGGAUCCGCGUCUGAUUAGCUAGUUGGUAAGGUAACGGCUUACCAAGGCAACGAUCAGUAGCCGACCUGAGAGGUUGAUCGGCCACAUUGGGACUGGGACACGGCCCAG
rnacentral:rRNA from 1 species